UAACACAUGCAAGUCGAACGAGAAAGCGGAGCAAUCCAUGAGUAAAGUGGCGACCGGGUGAGUAACACGUGACUAACCUACCUCCGAGUGGGGAAUAACUCCGGGAAACCGGGGCUAAUACCGCAUAACAUCGCAAGAUCAAAGCAGCAAUGCGCUUGGAGAGGGGGUCGCGGCUGAUUAGCUUGUUGGCGGGGUAACGGCCCACCAAGGCGAAGAUCGGUAUCCGGCCUGAGAGGGCGCACGGACACACUGGAACUGAAACACGGUCCAGACUCCUACGGGAGGCAGCAGUGGGGAAUUUUGCGCAAUGGGGGAAACCCUGACGCAGCAACGCCGCGUGGAGGAUGAAGCCCUUUGGGGCGUAAACUCCUUUCGACUCGGAAGAUAAUGACGGUACGAGUGGAAGAAGCACCGGCUAACUCUGUGCCAGCAGCCGCGGUAAUACAGAGGGUGCGAGCGUUGUUCGGAAUUAUUGGGCGUAAAGGGCGCGUAGGCGGUGCGGUAAGUCACCUGUGAAAUCUCCUGNCUUAACUGGGAGUCUGCAGGCGAAACUACCGUGCUG
rnacentral:rRNA from 1 species